AAUGAACGUUGGCGGCGUGGAUUAGGCAUGCAAGUCGUGCGAUGAAGCAGUGCUUGCACUGUGGAUUAGCGGCGAAAGGGAGAGUAACGCGUGGAUAUCUACCCUCGACUCUGGGAUAGCGGCGGGAAACUGCCGGUAAUACCGGAUAACGUCUCCGGACCAAAGGUGUGAUUCCGGUUGAGGAUGGGUCCGCGUCCUAUUAGCUUGUUGGUGGGGUAAUGGCCUACCAAGGCAAAGAUGGGUACCGGGUGUGAGAGCAUGGCCCGGCUCACUGGGACUGAGACACUGCCCAGACACCUACGGGUGGCUGCAGUCGAGAAUCUUCGGCAAUGGGCGCAAGCCUGACCGAGCGACGCCGCGUGCGGGAUGAAGGCCUUCGGGUUGUAAACCGCUGUCAGUAGGGAGCAAAUGCAUAGGGGUUCUCUCCUAUGUUUGAGCAAUCUGCAGAGGAAGUACGGGCUAAGUUCGUG
rnacentral:rRNA from 1 species